AUGAGAAGAAGCGGUAAUAAUUUAAGUGAGGGAACAAGAAAACAAAAUAAAAUUCACCUUUGGCGUGACAUCUUUCAUGGCUUUCAUGAGUUCCUUGAAACAAUCAUCAUUCUCUUUGUAAUACAUACAAAGAUGUUUCAGGGUUUCAGCUGCAGUUAUUCUGUAUGCGUUGUGGUCAGCCUUAAAGAGCAUCCUACUGAGAUCAUCGACACCACCACCAUUUUCCUUCAAGAAGAUGAAUCAGAAGUGAAGAUGCGAGCCAUUGUCUCGAUGAAUUUUCCUCGGCUUUUGGUGCCCACUCCCGGAGCUGCAUCCAUGGGUAGUUUUAUUCUCGCCGGUGCUUCCGGGAGAAGUCACGAUGCGGCACAUGACUUGCAGUGA
rnacentral:rRNA from 1 species